AAGUAAGAACCGGAACUCCUCACUGAGCUAAGUAGAGUGAUAAGGAGUUUUAAGAGUGCUAUUCGUUUUUCUAAUGCAUACUCAGAUGCACUAACAGUUUGACUCUGGAGUCAGCGGUGGUAAUGACAGAUUCCAAAUCGCUUCAUCCCCCAUGUUCUUGGAUUAUUCCUAUGGUGAUGUGAUCCUUCGCUCAGAAGUUUGGACAGUGGCCUCCUGUUUCCCCAGCUUUCUGACUGGCAGAUGUCUCCCUGUCCAGAGUGACCAGAAGCCAAGAUACAGACUCAUUUGGAGAUCCUGUUUGGGCAGGAAGAGUUGCCUGGAAAACAUCAUGUUCAGUCUGGAUGCUUAUUCUGAUUGCUUGGAUUUUGUGACCCCAUACAAAACUUCAUGAAGUCACAUGAGUUUCUCACAUGUUGUACCAGACAAAAGAGCGAGAGGGGAGGCCAUUUGAAAGGAAGAUUAGCUGUCCAGGCA